GGGGCAUAGCUCAGUUGGUUAGAGCGCACGCUUCACAUGCGUGAGGUCACAGGUUCGAGUCCUGUUGUCCCC
rnacentral:tRNA from 2 species